rnacentral:rRNA from 1 species
UACGGGGGGGGCAAGCGUUGUUCGGAAUUACUGGGCGUAAAGGGCUCGUAGGCGGCCAACUAAGUCGGACGUGAAAUCCCUCGGCUUAACCGGGGAACUGCGUCCGAUACUGGAUGGCUGGAGGUUGGGAGAGGGAUGCGGAAUUCCAGGUGUAGCGGUGAAAUGCGUAGAUAUCUGGAGGAACACCGGUGGCGAAGGCGGCAUCCUGGACCGGCAUUGACGCUGAGGCGCGAAAGCCAGGGGAGCAAACGGG